UCAUUAGAUUCAAUUUGAAGUGCCGAUUGAUUGAGAGCCUCUUUUAAGACUGUUAAUGUUGUAUAAAGAGAUGGCUGAGUUUAUAUGUAGUCUUAAAAUUAAUUUUUUUACCUGGAAGCAGAUACCCAUUUAACCACCUCCUCAAAUUUGUCUAAAAAUUUUUAUGACUCCUUGUAUUUUGGCCAGAUUACAGUAUAUUUUUUGCAGCUCCUUGGCAGGUGAGCGUAUCUACAUCUUCAUGGUGUAGUUCGAAAUAUCAUUUAUUGGGUGGCAAUGCUCUAUAUAUUCUAUAUGAUGUAUUCGAUCAGUUAAAUUUUUAUUCGGGCAUCUCAUAUUGUCAUAUUCACAGCAUGUCUUGGAAGUACCUUGAUAUCAUUACAAUCUCAUUGUUUUAUUAUGUGAAUCAUUUUGUAUCAUUUUGAGAACUUACUGAGAGGUGUGAACUAGAGUCAGAUUUCUUGUACUUAACCUAGAGUGAAUAUAAUAAGAUAUAAAUGAGACAUUUUGAGAACUUGGGGUAGUAAGAUAUAAAUGAGACAUUUUGUUAGAGCCAGCUGAGAUGUUUCACUCAUGAACCACAAAGAUUAUGAGUCUAUGACAAGACUCUCUUAAGGGUGGUAUGGUUCGAUUUGAGGGUUGUCUAGAUAAUCCAGUUUGUUAGAUGGUUAACAUAUGAAUAUUUGAACUAUCUGGUAUGACCUCCUAGAGACUUUAUCAAACUUUCCUCUUGAAUUUAAGUUCAGACAGGGUUUUAUAAAGAAAGUAAUGUUGACAUAAGCAUCUCAUACUGGGCUUGUUAAGAAGCCCAUUCACAACCAAGCUCAAGCUUAGGUUUUGGGCAAGAUUGCUCCACAAACUAACUCUAUUGAAAUUGGGAUUUACUUGAGGCCUCAUGAAAAGUUGGCGCUACACUUAUAUGGCUUUGGUAACUGUGACAAAAAGGAAAAAGUACCUUGCGUUUUAGAUAUGACAAAAAUAUGGAUAAGCUCUUGGAGUAUCUUGUAAUUGCAAUUGAAGUUGAAUAUCUUUCGAUAUGGAAAUUAGAAUGAAUAGGUAAAUGAACAAACUUGACAAGCUUGAUUAGGCUCAUGAACAUGAUUGAGUUUGGCCAAACCUUAGCAAAUGAAACUUGAACAGGAAAUUGUUUUCUCAGAUUAAGCCCUGCUCAAGUUCAAGCUCAAUCUAAAGUCAACCAACCCCAGCAGCCCAUUGUUCUUACUCUUUCUAGACUUAUCAACUGAGAGACUAUUGCAAUUAAUUUUGAAUAUUAUAUGUUGUUUUCUUUUUCACCAACUUGCAGCAAACCAAGGUUUCGCUCCUCCAGCACCAAGUGAAGUUGCUUGUCAUUGAUAGCAUGACAACUCUUGUUUUAGGAAAUCAGAUGUUGGACAGUCCAGAGAAAGAGAAUGUUGGUUAUCUAUUUAUUAGUAUUAUUUCAUCAGGUGGUGCUCUCCGUACUCGAACUAUCUGUAAUCUCUCUUAUAAGUAUAUAUUUAUGUAAUGAACAUGAAGUUUGAAUGUGGGUGCGUGCAAGUGGAGGUGAGAGUUUUGAACCUAACUUGUGAUUGAUGUGCUAACUUUUUGUUAACUUUAUUAUUGGCAAUGAUUAUAAUUUGUUAACUUUUUAUUUUAUUUUGGGUUAGCUUCUUUAUUUUUUUGACUGAUUCCAGUGUUUUUUUGUAGGAGCAUUGGCCAGCUUGUUCCCUGAAAUAAGCAUUGGCCUAUGAAUGAGUUAUUCAAUAUUUUGAUGGUUUUUUAACAUUUUUUUGGGUUAUGGUUUGUGGUUAAAUAUAAAUAGGUACGAAAUGUUACAAUUUUUCUUUAAUUGUUUGUCAAAUGUAAAAUUUUAGCGAUCUAGAAGAGGAAUUAAACUUGUUUGGUUUAUUUUUAGUUUAUGUGCUUCUGUAUAGAAUCUUGGACUUUUAGAUUUGACCUUGUUUAGCUAAUAGUGCAAUUUGAAAAUUGAAUCUUUUUUGUUUGGGAGAAGUGUAUUAUUUUGCAGAUUUAGUCAGGGAAAAUGAAAUUUAUUUAUAUUUGUUCAUUUUAUAUUUUUUUUAAAAUAAGGAGAAAAGAUGGCGUUUUUGAAAAAAACGUUGCUAAAUGUCGCGAUAUGAUGUAAGUGUUUAACUGUAACGGAAAAGAUGGCGUUUUUAAAAAACGUCAUUAAAUGUCAUCAUAUGACGUCAGCUUUUAACUGUAAUGGUUUAUGUUAACGGAUGUUUAAGAAUUUGCGGCGUUUUAAAAAGCACCGGCUAAAGUUAUUAGUGACGUUUAAUAAACGUCAAUAACCUAAGACGGCGGCCGUAUCCUCGACACAAGUUAUAAACGUCACUUUAUCCUUUAACGGCGUUUUUAAGGCUUAUAGUGGCGUUUUUUAAACGUCGCUAAUUCUAAAAAUUCCUGCAGUGAUAGAAUAAGAGUUGCAAGUCAAAGAUAUAUUGAGACCCCAAGCCCGACAUAGUUGAGUCAAUAAGCAAACUACUAAGUUGCCUCAUAGUUGAGUCAAUUCUAAUAGUUAGAUUUGAACUUGGGCAUCACAUAUGGAUGAGUGCCUCAUCCAACAAGUGUACUCCUUAGUUUAUCCAUUCUCUAA